rnacentral:rRNA from 1 species
GUGCCAGCCGCCGCGGUAAUACCGGUGGCUCGAGUGGUGGCCGCUAUUAUUGGGUCUAAAGGGUCCGUAGCCGGCCUGAUAAGUUACCUGGGAAAUCCGGUGGCCUAACCAUCGGGCGGCCAGGUAAUACUAUCAGGCUCGGGACUAGGAGAGACCAGAGGUACUCAUGAGGUAGGAGUGAAAUCCUGUAAUCUUAUGAGGACCACCAGUGGUGAAGACGUCUGGUUAGAAUAGGUCCGACGGUGAGGGACGAAGGCUGGGGGCGCAAACCGGAUUAGAUACCCGGGUAGUUCCAGCAGUAAACGAUGCCAGCUAUGUGUUGCUGGAACCAUGGGUUCCAGCAGUGCCGAAGGGAAGCCGUGAAGCUGGCCACCUGGGAAGUACGGUCGCAAGGCUGAAACUUAAAGGAAUUGGCGGGGGAGUACCACAACCGGUGGAGCCUGCGGUUUAAUUGGAUACAACGCCGGGAAUCUUACCGGAGGGGACAGCAGUAUGAAGGCCAGGCUAAAGACCUUGCCAGAUCAGCUGAGAGGAGGUGCAUGGCCGUCGCCAGUUCGUACC